AGCUUCCUGAAUCCGUGUAGAAAUUUUGUCAGACACCAACCCACUAGGGUUGACCUGACUUCCAAGAUAAGUGAAGUC
rnacentral:pre_miRNA from 1 species